UGUGGUGUAGCUCAGUGGUAGAGUGCUUGCCUGGUAUGCAGGAGACCCUGGGUCCAAUCCCCAGUACCAUGA